rnacentral:tRNA from 1 species
GCUUGUAGCUCAGCUGGUUAGAGCGCUACACUGAUAAUGUAGAGGUCACAGGUUCGAGUCCUGUCAAGCC